UACGUAGGGUGCAAGCGUUGUCCGGAAUUAUUGGGCGUAAAGAGCUCGUAGGCGGUCUGUCGCGUCUGCUGUGAAAACCCGGGGCUCAACCCCGGGCUUGCAGUGGAUACGGGCAGACUAGAGUUCGGUAGGGGAGACUGGAAUUCCCGGUGUAGCAGUGAAAUGCGUAGAGAUCGGGAGGAACACCAGUGGCGAAGGCGGCCUUCUGGACCAAUACUGACGCUCAUGCACGAAAGCGUGGGGAGCAAACAGG
rnacentral:rRNA from 1 species